UUUGAGCUCCCUUGUGUGCCAGAAUUAAUCAGCGAAAGCAGCCGUAAGAACACAUGCAGAAAAGGAAAACUGGAGCAGAAGCAAGAGCGGCCCGCCCAGGAAUAGUGAGCUCACACUUAACAAAGCCACAGCCCCUGAGUUUGCCGUUAAGACACAGGUCCUUCUGGGGCCGGUCAGUUAGACCCUCUGGCCUUUCCUGAAGCCCUGGAAGAAUGACCAACUCUUCUCCAAGGAAUGAGACGUGGCCUGUCUGGGUGGUGACGGCUCUUACCUGCUCCCCCAAGUCAGGGCAUCCGGAUCGGAGCACAGAUCACCUCCGGUCCGUCCACCUCCACCACUCUGGUCCCUGAGCGUUUGCAGUGGUACUUGCGGAAAAGGGAGCAUUCCAUGUCGGCACAGAACCCAGCGUCCAGGCUCUGCACUGCAUCCUUUCACCCACCAUCUCUCUGGGGGCCAGGGGCCCAGACAACAGCAUCAACAGUACUGGCAUUGGCCCCAUCCCUUCCUUCAGAAAACCCAUCUAAAGACAAGAAACACAAGUGUUCUCCACUUCAUUUUGUAGAAAGCAUACAUAGAACUAAUCUGAAAUGGAAGUAAAAUAAAUGUACCAACAAAAUUCUGCCCUUUAAAAUUCAUCUUCAUCUUCUAUUUAUACUUUAUAUUUAGUAGUCCACACUGUUUCUAGGCUAAUUCAAAGGCUUCUAAUGCUCAUUAUAUUUCUUGCUAAUAACUGCAAUGAUGAAUUUUCCCUUGCUAUUUUCUUUUUGUAAUUAAUAGGAACACAGACCUGCCAGGUUCUUGCCUCUUGAAAAUGGCUGAAGGCUGUAGGAAUCGACUGGGAACAAUUUCCCAUGGAUUGUACCCACGUGGAAAAUUAAGAAACUCAAAUUCUAGGAAGAAAAGCAUUGCCUGGAAUAGUAGAGAGCUUACAGAGUUAAAAAGAGUAAAGUCUCUUCUACUCCAGAAAUUAAUAUAAAUAUUUUUUGUUCAGUUAACAUUCUCUAAGAAUUAAGCUAGAUAAACCACGCGUUCUCAAGUUUAUAGCCUUAAUUUUGUUUUUGGCUGCAUGGCUUGCAGGACCUUAGUUCCCUGACCAGGGAUCGAAUCUGGACCCUCAGCAGUGAAAGCAUGGAGUCCUAACCACUGGACCACCAGGGAAUUCCCACACCCUUAACUUUAACACAACCUUUUUGUUGUAUUGCGAGCAAUGUCUACGCACAACCUCGUUUUAACCCUGCCCUGGUAUGAUGAAGCAUUUACUGUCAUCAUCAUUACACAUGCAGGGACAUCAGGCUUGGAGAGCUGGAAUCACAUCUAUCACUCACUCUCCCAUUCUGAUGUUUUGCUUAUUGUAAGCUUUUCUGAAUCAUUUGUGGAGUUGGGGAGGGUGUGGGCUGGAAUAAAUAUGAGCUAGUUAAUUAUUAUUCAAUAAAAAUUGUUUUCAUUGUAAAUUGGGUGCAAAAAAUUAAUAAAUGAAGAA